UCGUUUUCUCUCUAAAUAGAACCCUAAAAUUGAAAAUAUCUCCCAAAUCUUUCGAAGCAUCCGAGUCUCUCGCUAUUGUUGUUCGGCGAAGCUAAGUUUGCUUAAUCUCUCAUCUAGUUUGGAGAUGGAUAGAAAGAAGGAAGAAGCUUUGGUCGCGGCCGAGGUCGAAACCGGCGGUUCUGAGGUUAUGAGGUCGACGGCAUCGGCUGUCGAGGAUGCGGAUGAUGAAGUUGACUACGAUGAUGAUUAUUAUGGUGAGAGUGACGGAGAGAGUGGCGAUCCUCUGUCAUCAGACGAAGAAGAAGACAAAGAAGAUUUGCUGGCUGAGAAGCAAUUCGUUAAGGCCCCCAUUGCAGUCUUUUGGGAUGUUCGGAGUUGUGGAAUCCCUGAAGAUUGUGAUGAUUUCUAGGGUCGUAACAAAUGUAAGAUUGGCUCUCAAUAAGAUGAAUUAUCUUGGUAUGAUCCGUUUCUUCGGUUUUGGGGAUUGUUAUCGUACGUACCCCUAGGAAAAUCAAUAACUCCAUUGCUCGCAGCGGAAUCACGUACCUACACGUAAUUGGAAACGGAGAUAAGUAUGCAGACUUUAGCAUUAUAACUGCGGAAAUGUUAUCCCGGGCACAAGAGUUUCCUUCCCCUACAAACUAUGUGUGCUAAUCUCGGGAGACAGUAACUUAUCUAUUACUCUUAAUCUAUUGAAGAAGAAAGGGCACAAUAUACUGCUAGCACAGCCUAAUGGAGAAGCAUCAGGGCCUCUAAUUAAGGAUGCAUCAUCUGUGUGGUUCUGGGAUACUCUCAUGCUUGGUGGGCGCCCUCUCAUCCCAAACCAUGCAACUUCGCAUACCACCUCUAGCCCCGCUCAGCCUGAUGACAACAUGGAAAUCGAAUCAUGAUUAUUAUUUUUCUUGUGUUCCGCAAACCAGAAAACCUGUCUUAGUUUCAGUAUUCUAAAUAACCUUUUGACCUGUUUUGAAAACUCGUAUCUAUGACUAUGUUUUAGCAUCUGUUC